rnacentral:rRNA from 1 species
CCUACGGGAGGCAGCAGUGAGGAAUAUUGGUCAAUGGGCGAGAGCCUGAACCAGCCAAGUCGCGUGAAGGAUGAAGGAUCUAUGGUUUGUAAACUUCUUUUAUAUGGGAAUAAAGUGAGGAACGUGUUCCUUUUUGUAUGUACCAUAUGAAUAAGCAUCGGCUAACUCCGUGCCAGCAGCCGCGGUAAUACGGAGGAUGCGAGCGUUAUCCGGAUUUAUUGGGUUUAACGGGUGCGUAGGUGGUUAAUUAAGUCAGCGGUGAAAGGUUGUGGCUCAACCAUAAAAUUGCCGUUGAAACUGGUUGACUUGAGUAUAUUUGAGGUAGGCGGAAUGCGUGGUGUAGCGGUGAAAUGCAUAGAUAUCACGCAGAACUCCGAUUGCGAAGGCAGCUUACUAAACUAUAACUGACACUGAAGCACGAAAGCGUGGGGAUCAAACAGGAUUAGAUACCCUAGUAGUC